rnacentral:rRNA from 1 species
AACGAACGCUGGCGGCAGGCCUAACACAUGCAAGUCGUGCGCGCCUUCGGGUGAGCGGCGGACGGGUGAGUAACGCGUGGGAACGUGCCCUUUAGCUCAGGAUAGCCCCGGGAAACUGGGAGUAAAACUGGAUACGCCCUUCGGGGGAAUAAAGGAUCGGCCCGCGUUAGAUUAGGUAGUUGGUGCGGUAACGGCGCACCAAGCCUACGAUCUAUAGCUGGUUUUAGAGGAUGAUCAGCCACACUGGGACUGAGACACGGCCCAGACUCCUACGGGAGGCAGCAGUGGGGAAUCUUAGACAAUGGGGGCAACCCUGAUCUAGCCAUGCCGCGUGAGUGAUGAAGGCCUUAGGGUCGUAAAGCUCUUUCGCCAGGGAUGAUAAUGACAGUACCUGGUAAAGAACCCCGGCUAACUCCGUGCCAGCGCCGCGGUAA